UACGUAGGUGGCAAGCGUUGUCCGGAUUUAUUGGGUUUAAAGGGUGCGUAGGCGGCUUAUUAAGUCAGUGGUGAAAUACUUCAGCUCAACUGGAGAGGUGCCAUUGAUACUGGGGAACUUGAGUACUGAUGAGGUAGGCGGAAUGGACGGUGUAGCGGUGAAAUGCUUAGAUAUCGUCCAGAACACCGAUAGCGAAGGCAGCUUACUAAAGAGUAACUGACGCUGAGGCACGAAAGUGUGGGGAUCAAACAGG
rnacentral:rRNA from 1 species